AACAACCUUAAGUUAACCUUUUGAAUGUGUUUACCUCACGUCAAGGUUUCGCUUUUUUUUCAAUACAUUGUCACUUUGAUUUCUUUUUGACAAUUGAUCGAUUAUCAUUUUUUUUUAUUCAUUUUAUUUAAUUGCAAUUAGACUGUUUGUUGUUUGUCUUUCUCUUUGUCUGUCUCACUCUCGUUGUCUCUGUUUUGAUCUUUUCUAUGUUCUCUUCCAUUAUCUGAGUAAGUAGUUAACUGUAUCUUACUCACUAAUUUGUUGUUUCUCUUUUUUUUUCCUAAUCAUGUUUCGCAAAUGAUCAUAUAUGAAGGUUACUCAACGGUAUCAUGUUUGAACCAAUUGGAAACCUUGGAUUGGAGAUGAAGGAAGGAAGACGAAAAGGAAGAGAGUGAGUGGAGUGAGAGAAAUGAAGGUAACUCACAACGUAAACGAACAGGAGAAGGAAGAAGGAAGAAAAUGAAAAGACGAAUAAGAUGAGAUGGAAAAAACAACGAUAUCAACACAAUGGCGAUCGUGAAGAUAAAGUGAAAAUUGGAAAACGUAGUAUUUACAAAGAGAUGUCUGAGGUUCCACUCAUGUUCUGUCAAGUCAUGUAAUAAUAUUCACUCAGUAGAAUCAUUUGGGAUCAAUGGUAUCAUCAUCUUCACAUAUGCAAGAUGAAUUUUAUGCAUAUAUUGCAAUCAUGUUAAGAAGAGAAGUGAGAUCUGUGUGUGUGUGAGAGAGAGAGAGAGAGAGAGAGAGAAAAAACAUCAAAAAGGUAAGAAAAGAAAGUGAAUAAAGAAGCCAGAUAAAAGAGAGGAUCUGGCAAAUCUCCAUGUUACUCUAUCAACUAUCAUGAUCAUUGAAUUGACAAACGUUUUAACCACUUCCAAGGGAAAUGGCCAUUGAAAUGAUGAUUAUUGAAAAACGUUCACAAAAAAUCUCAACCGAAGGACUUGCAAAGUAAAACAACAAAACAGUUACUUAAUCAAUUGAUGAUGAAGUUCAAUGAUAAUGGUUAAUUAAACAAAAAAGCAUUCGCAUCGAUAAUCGACCUCCAAACUUGUCCACUUGACCUUUCACCAUUUUCGCCUUGAGGUAAAUUGAUGGCAAAUGAUACAAGGAUAACCAGUAGAACUAAUGAAAGAAACUAGAGGCUAUUCCAAAAUAAUCUUCUUAUUGAAAUUGGUCAUUUUUCUUUUCAGUAUCUAUUUAGCAUCUAUCAUCCACGCCCUGGAAAUGUAUGUUCCCUAUUCCUGAAAUUUUCUGUCAAAAGGUGGAUCCACUUCGUAGGAAAAAAAAAAGAAAUGAUGUUAAUUUCAAGUAGAGAACCAGAAGAAAGAAGAUGAAGAAAGAGAAAGAGAAUCAAUCUGAUGAAAUUUAUUCCUGAUAAUUGUGGAAAUGCAAAACGAGUGAAUAUAAGAUAAUAUAUGAAAGACAGGUCCUCAUCUUCAUCCUCAUCUUCAUCAAAUUCCCUCAACCAAAGUGUAAAAUUAAAUGAAGAAAAAAACCUGAUUUGAUUUAUCUAGAGAUUCUGUUCAAGUUCAUUCAGGUGAACUUCAUGAAAACAAGAUAUUUAUUCAUCAUCUGAAAGAAGCAGAAUGAAGUUACACAUUAAUAAUGUCCACUGGCCUCUUCUCUUUAUGCAAUUCAUUUUCUUCAUCUUCUUAUUCAUCCACAAAGCCGUAAUCUCACCAGUAACAAUAUUUUAUCUCUUUCUUCAUCACCAGGUAAAUAUAAUUUUCAUGUGACAAGUCACGUGAUUUGAAACUACCUUGAGAUUACAAGUUUUUCUGUUAUUAUUAUGUGAGAGAUUUAAAUGGGGGAGUAAACAAAAAGGAAAGAUAAUUGAGAGCGAGAAGAACGAGAUGAUGAUAAACAAAGAUGGAAAAAGAGAGAGAGAGAGAGAGAGGAAAAUUCUGGUAUUAGGAAAUAUCGUUCACAAAAACAAGAAUAGUGGCAAUGUGAUCGGUAUAAGAGCAGAAAGUUUAUUAAAUUGUGAUACUUUUACAGAGGAGGAUGAGAAGAGAAAUGUUGAUGAGUGUGAUGAGAUAAAAUCUGAGAGGAUAACAUGAUGAGGGAUAGAAAAGUUUGACAGUUUUGUUUUCUCGUGUUCACUUGAAUCAGCAUGUUUACUGUUUUUGUUCUUGGUGUUUGUCAGAAUUUUACUGUUGCCAGUUUCAUGAAAUUGAAGCCAAACAUGAAGACUUUUCUCUCUUCCUCUUCUCUUUAUCAUCAAAGAUUCAGAGACAGAGGGAUAGCGAGAGAGAGAGAGGAAAAAGUUCAACGAAAAUCAGUUCGAUGUUUUUUUUUUCAUCUAAAUUAACUGAUGUAAAUCAACAGACUUUUAGAUCCUUAAAUAGGUUAGACAAUUAGUUUCGCAGAUAUUUCACUUUCCAUGAUAUAUAAAUGCUCUGAAAAUCACCCAACCACCCACACUUUUUACUACUUUUCUCUAUCAACAAUUGACAUUUUAAGGAAAUCAACAAAUCACAAUGAAUCAGCUCGUUGGUCUAAUCAUGAUCAAUAAUAACCCAAUUACCAUCACCGAUCCGAAAUGUUUCCAAAGUGUCCUGUUGCUCUGAUUGAAUUUCUUACUCUCACCAUAACUGGUUGGAAUCGCGAACUACACUUAAUUAUUAUAAUCAAUCAAUCAGAGUAAUUAUUAUCAUGAUCACAAGCACCAAGUGAAUAGAGAGUGAGAGAGGAAAAAAAGUAAUUGAUAAAAGGUUACUAAGUAACUGAGAUGGAAAAAUAUUUAAUCGAAUGUAAAAUUAAUGAGAAAACAUUGACAAACAUCAUCUUGUGAUCCUCAAGGAUUUAUCAUUACAAUAUAUUGAUUGUUGAAAAUUGUAAACAAUCAACAAAUUAUUAUCAUCAACUGUUGAUGUUUAUUAGUCUUUCUGUUUACUUAUUAUCGUUAUUGUUAUUAACAUGAAACCGUUUCCAUCCAUGGUGUUGAUUCAAUUUGUUUCCCCUGUUAUCGGUGUAAAAAAAAAGCUUUAUAUCAACACCUAUCAUAUUAACCCAAUGAAUGGAAUAUAAUGUGAUCAUAAUCAUCAUUUAGAAAGUAAAUCACAUUUCAAGUUAUAUCAGUUAACGUUGAAAUUUUGACAAGUUCAACUAUCAUGAUGAUCGUCGUGAAGAAGGGCAUUCAUGUAACAGCAUCAAAUUGUGAUGGUUAUGAUUAUAUUAAUUGUAAUACUUUCACAUGUUGAUGAUGGAAAGACACACAAAAUGGUGAUAUUGAUGAAAAGGAACCAAUAAUGGAGAAAAAGUAAAAGCAAAUUAAGCAACAAGGGAAAAGACAAUCAACAUAUGAUGAUGAUGAAAAAAAAGGAAGAUGACAAGAUUAUCAUUUGUAUGUUAACUCAACCAGAUUUUACCAGAAUUAAGAUGAGAAUUAUUAUUAUCAACACUUAAUUCGUUUACAAUUAGGAGUGUGUACUUUUUUUUCUCUAUCCCAAGAGAUCGUUCGACGACAAUUAUGGCCCUUGAAAGUUCAUUUCAUGGAAUCUGAAAGGAAUUGACCUUUGUCCAUUUCAUGGUUAUUCAUUGGUUAAUCGUCUGGUGGAACUGAUGAAAGAUUCCAUUGAUUAUGUAUCAUGAUUAUCGCCAUUGUUGACUGAAUAACAAUGGAAUUGAUUGUAUCCCUUGUAAUUGUAAUAAUUAUUACGUCUUCUAGUGGCUCCAUUUAAUAACAUUAUCUGUAUUUUCUCAUUAUUAUUAUCUCAUUACUAUCAUGAUGAUUAGUUGAUUAUCUUUAUUACUAUUAUUCAUUAAUACAGUUAAUCUGUUUUUUCCCAGUCUCUCAAACUUCAAUCCUGUGAUUCUCAAGGUUUAAUUGUUGCUGAUUGAAAAAAAAAAUUGUGUCUCAAUUGUGUCAAAAUCUGACUGUCAAUGGCUGAUUUACAUUGGAAAAUCAACUAUACCAAUUAAUUAAAUUGUUACUAAGAUAAAUUUUAAUAACUCACCAGUCAUUUGAUUGUAUUCUUACUAA